rfam:TPA: Bos taurus chromosome 10, whole genome shotgun sequence.
UUCCUGGUGGCUCAGAUGGUAAAGCAUCUGACUACAAUGCAGGAGACCCAGGUUCGAUCCCUGGGUUGGGAA